ACUCCUACGGGAGGCAGCAGUGGGGAAUAUUGGACAAUGGGCGCAAGCCUGAUCCAGCCAUGCCGCGUGAGUGAUGAAGGCCCUAGGGUUGUAAAGCUCUUUCACCGGUGAAGAUAAUGACGGUAACCGGAGAAGAAGCCCCGGCUAACUUCGUGCCAGCAGCCGCGGUAAUACGAAGGGGGCUAGCGUUGUUCGGAUUUACUGGGCGUAAAGCGCACGUAGGCGGACUAUUAAGUCAGGGGUGAAAUCCCGGGGCUCAACCCCGGAACUGCCUUUGAUACUGGUAGUCUUGAGUUCGAGAGAGGUGAGUGGAAUUCCGAGUGUAGAGGUGAAAUUCGUAGAUAUUCGGAGGAACACCAGUGGCGAAGGCGGCUCACUGGCUCGAUACUGACGCUGAGGUGCGAAAGCGUGGGGAGCAAACAGGAUUAGAUACCCGGGUAGUCCCA
rnacentral:rRNA from 1 species